rnacentral:rRNA from 1 species
UCCCGAGUGCUUGCACUCAAUUGGAAAGAGGAGUGGCGGACGGGUGAGUAACACGUGGGUAACCUACCCAUCAGAGGGGGAUAACACUUGGAAACAGGUGCUAAUACCGCAUAACAGUUUAUGCCGCAUGGCAUAAGAGUGAAAGGCGCUUUCGGGUGUCGCUGAUGGAUGGACCCGCGGUGCAUUAGCUAGUUGGUGAGGUAACGGCUCACCAAGGCCACGAUGCAUAGCCGACCUGAGAGGGUGAUCGGCCACACUGGGACUGAGACACGGCCCAGACUCCUACGGGAGGCAGCAGUAGGGAAUCUUCGGCAAUGGACGAAAGUCUGACCGAGCAACGCCGCGUGAGUGAAGAAGGUUUUCGGAUCGUAAAACUCUGUUGUUAGAGAAGAACAAGGACGUUAGUAACUGAACGUCCCCUGACGGUAUCUAACCAGAAAGCCACGGCUAACUACGUGCCAGCAGCCGCGGUAAUACGUAGGUGGCAAGCGUUGUCCGGAUUUAUUGGGCGUAAAGCGAGCGCAGGCGGUUUCUUAAGUCUGAUGUGAAAGCCCCCGGCUCAACCGGGGAGGGUCAUUGGAAACUGGGAGACUUGAGUGCAGAAGAGGAGAGUGGAAUUCCAUGUGUAGCGGUGAAAUGCGUAGAUAUAUGGAGGAACACCAGUGGCGAA